GACGAACGCUGGCGGCGUGCCUAAUAUAUGCAAGUAGAACGCUGAAGCUUGGUGCUUGCACCGAGCGGAUGAGUUGCGAACGGGUGAGUAACGCGUAGGUAACCUGCCUGGUAGCGGGGGAUAACUAUUGGAAACGAUAGCUAAUACCGCAUAAGAGUAGAUGUUGCAUGACAUUUGCUUAAAAGGUGCAAUUGCAUCACUACCAGAUGGACCUGCGUUGUAUUAGCUAGUUGGUGAGGUAACGGCUCACCAAGGCAACGAUACAUAGCCGACCUGAGAGGGUGAUCGGCCAACCUGGGACUGAGACACGGCCCAGACGCCUACGGGAGGCAGCAGUAGGGAAUCGUCGGCAAUGGACGGAAGUCUGACCGAGCAACGCCGCGUGAGGGAAGAAGGUUUUCGGAUCGUAAAGCUCUGUUGUAAGAGAAGAACGAGUGUGAGAGUGGAAAGUUCACACUGUGACGGUAUCUUACCAGAAAGGGACGGCUAACUACGUG
rnacentral:rRNA from 1 species